AACGAACGCUGGCGGCAUGCCUAACACAUGCAAGUCGAACGCCCCGCAAGGGGAGUGGCGAACGGGUGAGUAACGCGUGGGAACCUACCCAGCAGUUGGGGAUAACCGCGGGAAACUGCGGCUAAUACCGAAUACGUCCUAAGGGAGAAAGAUUUAUCGCUGUUGGAGGGGCCCGCGUCGGAUUAGCUAGUUGGUGAGGUAACGGCUCACCAAGGCAGCGAUCCGUAGCUGGUCUGAGAGGAUGAUCAGCCACACUGGGACUUAGACACGGCCCAGACUCCUACGGGAGGCAGCAGUGGGGAAUAUUGGACAAUGGGGGCAACCCUGAUCCAGCAAUGCCGCGUGAGUGAUGAAGGCCUUAGGGUUGUAAAGCUCUUUUGCCGGGGACGAUGAUGACGGUACCCGGAGAAUAAGCCCCGGCUAACUUCGUGCCAGCCGCCGCAGUAAAAC
rnacentral:rRNA from 1 species